rnacentral:rRNA from 1 species
CCCUUAGAUGUUCUGGGCCGCACACGCGCUACACUGAAGGAGGCAGCGUGUACUCCUGGAUCGAAAGAUUUGGGUAACCCGCGAAUCUCCUUCGUGCUAGGGAUUGAGGUUUGCAAUUAUCCUUCAUGAACGAGGAAUUCCUAGUAAGUGCAAGUCAUAAGCUUGCGCUGACUACGUCCCUGCCCUUUGUACACACCGCCCGUCGCUACUACCGAUUGAAUGAUUUAGUGAGGACUUCGGACUGGGACCGAUGCGGCUUUCGGGCUGCGUCGGUAUUCUGGAAAGAUGUCCAAACUGUAUCAUUUAGAGGAAGUAAAAGUCGUAACA